UGAAAAAGCAAAGCCCUCCCCCCCUUUUCUCUCUCUAUCUCUAUCUGAGGCGACCCAAAAUAAGAGGGGAGGAAGAGUGAGAAAGUGGCGAAAGAAAAUGGUUGAGAGAGAAAGAGAGGGUGAUGCUGAUGAUGGGAGAGAGGUUGAUUGAGAACGAUAAGAGUGUUGCCUAGGAAGGAGAAAAGGAGAAAGAAGGUAGAGUACAGAUACAGGGACGAAGGCGAAGGGAGUUAGUCUGGUAAACCAACCAGUUGAGAGAGAGAGAGAGAGAGAGAGAGAGAGAGAGAGGUUGGUUUCUGCCAAGAAACUGAGAAGGAAGUUUUUUUUUUUUCUUUUUUCUUUUUGUGGUGAACGAGAGAGAGAGGGCAAUGUGAAAUUUGGGGCCUGGAAUGCAUCAGAAGAAGUCGGAAUUACAGAUCGGAACCGAAAGCAGAGGUGUUUCCUCCGGUUUCAGCCGAGCACCGCCUCUCCACCACCACCAUCAGCAGCAACAGCCGAAUGAUACCCUAAUCUCGACAACCCACAAGCGGGCCAUGACAUCCACGCCUUCCUCCCUCUCCCGUUCCCCGACCCUCUCCUCCCUCCCCAUCACUCCGGCCGGUGCGACCACCUCCUCCGCCUCUCCCGCCACCGCCUCCAGCGCCACCACCAACACCGCCGUUACCUCCUUCCGUUCGCCUCCAUUUGCGGUGGCGCCGUCUGCGUCCUUCCUGCGAUUCCUCCGCCGAUUAUCCUUACACCACCACUACUACCAUCACCAUCUCAAGCCUCGGUUCCUCCUCCCACCUUCGCUCAUCAUCGCUGUCCCCGCCUUCUGGUGGUUCUUCAAAACCUCCCCGUCCGAACUCGGCCUCUGGUUCGAUUUCUUCUCGGCCCUUGCCUUUGCGGCCGCCCUCCUCCUCUCCUUUCGUUUCUCCUUCCCUCGCCUUUCACUUAUCCGCCUCAUCAAGCCAGUUUCUUCCCUCCUUCCUUCCUAUGAACGCCUCAAACUCAAAUCCUCUUCACACUCCCACCAUGUUCAGUGGACCAUCGGCUCCAAAGCGAGGCCGGAGAAGAUGUCCGCCAUUAACGCCAGGGAAGGUGUGAUUGUUUACAGCAAUGGGGACGUAUACGAGGGUGAAUUCCAUAAGGGGAAGUGUUCCGGCAGCGGCGUCUACUACUACUGUAUGAGUGGUCGCUAUGAGGGAGAUUGGGUCGAUGAGAAGUAUGACGGCUAUGGUGUGGAGACAUGGGCAAGGGGAAGCAGAUACAGAGGGCAGUACAGGCAGGGAUUGAGGCACGGUUAUGGAGUUUAUCGGUUCUAUACCGGCGAUGUGUAUGCCGGGGAGUGGUCGAAUGGGCAAAGCCAUGGAUACGGAGUUCACACCUGCGAGGAUGGUAGCCGGUAUGUCGGGGAGUUCAAGUGGGGGGUCAAGCAUGGUCUCGGGCAUUACCAUUUCAGGAAUGGAGACACAUAUGCUGGAGAAUAUUUUGCAGACAAGAUGCAUGGCUUUGGAGUUUAUCGUUUCGCAAAUGGUCACAGAUACGAAGGAGCCUGGCAUGAGGGUAGGAAGCAGGGGCUUGGGAUGUACACAUUCAGGAAUGGCGAGACACAGUCAGGCCAUUGGCAGAACGGCAACCUUGAGACACCAAGUACACAGAAUACCCAUCCGGGGUCUCCAAUUGCUGUUAAUCAUUCAAAAGUGCUCAAUGCUGUCCAGGAAGCACGGCGAGCAGCAGAAAAGGCAUAUGAGGUGCCAAAAGUAGAUGAAAGAGUGAAUAAGGCAGUUGCAGGAGCCAAUCGAGCAGCUAAUGCUGCAAGAGUGGCAGCAGUUAAAGCUGUUCAGAAAAGAAUGCACAAGGAUGAUAUAGCAGCACAGAUGGUGUGAAUUUUUUUUGUUACACUGUCACCAGUUCAUUCAAACAAAAAACUUGGUCGAGGCUACGUUGUAGACGGAAUGUGGCUACAACUUACAAGGGUUUGGCUGAUGCUCUCACAAGCCUUUUGAGUACUCUAACAAGUGGCGCUGCUAGUAGACAAUCCCAUCUUGGGUAUGGCAGUUCCGCAUGGAGAAGCCCCCAAAGCCUUCUAUUCAGUAAGAAGUGCCAAGCAAUUCAUGCACCGAGGAGAGCAAACAAAAAUAGCAGCUACAAGACAGAACCCAAGGCGGGCAAAAAACCGCUACUAAUAAAAAAGAAGGAAGCAUAUAAAUAAAGCUCUAACGCAGUCUUUCUUCCGGAGUGAUGCGGAGUUCAGAGACGAGCACGGAGAGGCUCUAAAGAGUUCCAAAAGGAAGCUCUCCCUUCCAGCAUGCAUUUCAAUCUUCUAAUCCAAUCCUUCCUUCCUGUUUGAGCCGAUUAUAUCAGA